rnacentral:lncRNA from 1 species
GGACUGCCUGGCCCCCCAGGCCCUAGGGGGCUGCCGGGGCCCAAGGGGGAGCGAGGAGAGAAGGUGAGUGUGCAGAGUCUGGAGUCCGGGCCGACCCUGGGGGAACACAGGGAGGCACUGACCCCCACGCUGCCUGAGCCGUCAGCCACGUGGCCUGUCCUCCCUUGCAGGGAGAGCCACAGUCCCUGGCCACCAUCUACCAGCUUGUGGGCCAGGCCUGCGAGUCCGCCAUCCAGGCACACGUGCUGAAGCUCCAUGCCUGUACCCACGAGAGCACCCGGCCCCCCAUGCCCAUCUUGGAGGCCCCCAGGGCUCUUGGCACGAGCAGCAAGGCCCGGCUCCCCGGAGAAGUGGGGCAUGGUGGCUCCCGCCCUGGGGACAGAGGACGGUCCCCCUGCUGCCUCGAGUGAGCCCGCAUGUGCCCCUGGAUCCUGGACACCCGACAUCUGACCCCCGGAGCAGCUGGAGAAGAGGGUCCGGAGGUGCAGGGAGAAGCGGCAGAGACCGGGCCUAGAAACCUUCCCUCUGUGCGUCUCCUGUUCAGAUAAACAUGCCUGCUUGUUAAGGGAGGUGGCUGCUCAUUGCCAGGGACCCCCCCAUCCACCCCUUCCCCCACGGAGUGGAGUCCCAGAUUCCCUCCCCCACACGCCUCUCAGAGAGAGGCCGCCUUUUGUCCUUGGCCGUGAGGAUCCCCCCACCAUGGUCUCCCUCACCAGUUUCUUCCUGUGAGGCCACUGAAGCCUCCAGGCCCUGGU